UAAUCCGGUGCAGUGGCUCAUGAAUUUAUUUUAUCUGUCAACCUCGCCCAUCAAAGUCAGUGGGCGGGGCUAACGCGAAUCUUGUCUUAUCCACUGCUUUGGUCUGCCGUGAAACCGAAAGUAGAAACAUGGCGGCUGUGUUGAUGGAGGAUCUCCGUGAACUUUCUACAGAGUUGGUGAGAGAUGUCUUAGACCUUGCAGAGUACGUGGAAGCAGGACCUGCUGACCCCGAGCAUGUAGCGUGUAAAGCAGAGGAACUUAUUGAAGUUGUUGGAGUUAUUUCCGCACUUUCUGACCAAGAUGUUGACCGUAGAGUGACUGCAAAUUUAGAAGAAGUACUUCGCCGCUUUUCUGGUACCAGGGUGCAACAGGAGCACACACAGGGACCAGGGCGUUUGGCAUUUGACAUACCCAGGGCCGCUCUGGAACAUCACGUUCAUUGUGGAUUACCAGCCUGUCAAAUUGCAGCGAUGCUCGGAGUGUCAAAGAGGACCAUCAGGAGGCGCAUGCAACAAUACGGUUUAAGAAAGACAGACCUGUAUUCAGCUGUGAAUGAUGAGGAGUUGGACCGUAUUGUAAGUGAAGUCCACAGAAGACAUCCCAACACCGGCUACAAGCUAAUGCGUGGUCAUCUGAAUGCACGAGGUGUGCGUGUUCCAAUCUCAAGACUGCAAGAGUCUUUACGCAGAGUUGAUGCAGAGGGAGUCUACAUGAGGCGUCUAAGACUGCGUGUAUUAAGACGACGGCAGUAUUCUGUUCCUGGCCCAAACUCUUUAUGGCAUAUAGAUGGCAAUCAUAAGCUCAUCAGGUGGAGAUUUGUUGUCCACGGUGGGGUGGAUGGAUUCAGUCGUUUAGUCGUCUACCUGACUGUGGCUGGCAAUAACAGAGCUAGUACGGUCUUACAGAGCUUUAUCGCUGCUGUUGAGCAGUACGGGCUGCCAUCAAGGGUUCGGUCUGAUAAAGGGGGCGAGAAUGCAGAUGUAGCAGAAUUCAUGAUCGGGAGCAGAGGUACCGACAGGCAGAAGGCAGAAGUGUCCACAAUCAAUGAAUAGAAAGGAUGUGGAGAGAUGUGUAUGAACAUGCCCUGGACCUCUUCUAUCAGAUCUUCACUUCAUUGGAAGAUCAGGGAACACUGAAUCCAGACAAUGAAGUCCAUCUUUUUGCACUGCACUGGAGCUUCCUUCCACUAAUCCAGCAAAGCCUCGACUCUUUCAGGGAUGCUUGGAACUUUCCUGGUCUUAGAACUGAAAGGAAUCAGUCACCACAGCAACUCUGGAGAAGAUACAGAGAGCAAGGCCCUAUGGAGGAUCCUACUGAGGUUUAUGAAGACUAUGGGAUCGACCGGAACGGACCUCACAGUCUUCAUGGAGGCACUGUGUCAGUCCCCGAGGUUGAAAUGAGCUGGCAGCUUUAGUGUUUCAAAGCAUGUGGCGGACGUAGGAAGGGUUCCCCCAGAGAUCUCCACUUUCAGUUCAGGAGGAAGCUUCUCCCAGCCAACCCAGAAUGUCAGCAGCUGGGCCAGUGUACCUGAUGAAGCUAAAAGUCAUAAAAUGGAUUCAAGACAACAUUUAGUUAAACUUUAAUUGAUCAUAUCUAUCCAUGAGACAUGGAAGCAUUUGUAAAGAGAACAACACAUUUUUAAAUAAAGUGUUAAU